rnacentral:tRNA from 1 species
UCACUGGUGGUCCAGUGGCCAAGACUCUGCACUCUCAAUGCAGGGAGCCCGAGUUCAAUCCCUGGUCGGGGAA